GGAUGAGUCCCACGGUCUCAGCCAUCACAGAGACACAACCCACGCAGGGAAGUCGGGCGCGAGAUCCUGCGACUUUUCUUGCCUGAGGAUGUUGAGAGACAAGUUAUAAUGAUGCCUCUGAUGGACAUUUUCUUCAUGAAUUCGUCUCAUCACUUUUUGAAUUCACUCAUCAUUUGGACUCCACAGCACACUGUGAUGAGGAUUUCCAUGGUUCAACUGUCUAUGACAAAUGUAAUUAAUUUUGCUUGUCUAAAACAAGUUACUAGGGAAUUUUGUUUCAUGCUGUCUAGAUUUGUAUAUUAUAAGAAACAAUGAAUAAACCUUUCCUAUUCAA